rnacentral:rRNA from 1 species
ACUGAACGCUGGCGGCAUGCCUUACACAUGCAAGUCGAACGGCAGCACGGGGGCAACCCUGGUGGCGAGUGGCGAACGGGUGAGUAAUACAUCGGAACGUGCCCCGUAGCGGGGGACAACCAGUCGAAGACUGGCUAAUACCGCAUACGCUCCACGGAGGAAAGCAGGGGAUCGCAAGAACCUUGCACUAUGGGAGCGGCCGAUGCCCGAUUAGCUAGUUGGUGAGGUAAAGGCUCACCAAGGCAACGAUCGGUAGCUGGUCUGAGAGGACGACCAGCCACAC